AUAUCAGUCAUGCAUAGCAUAUCAAUAAGCGGAGGAAAAGAAACUAACAAGGAUUCCCUUAGUAACGGCGAGUGAAGCGGGAAGAGCUCAAAUUUGAAAUCUUCAAGGUUCUACCUUGACGAAUUGUAGUUUAUAGAAGUGUUUUCUGUUAGUAGGAGUGGCAAAAGUUCCUUUGGAAUAGGACAUCAUAGAGGGUGAGAAUCCCGUAUUUGGUCAUUCCUUCUAGCGUUGUGAUACACUUUCAACGAGUCGGAUUGUUUGGGAAUGCAGUCCAAAAUGGGUGGUAAAUUUCAUCUAAAGCUAAAUAUUGGCGAGAGACCGAUAGCGAACAAGUACCGUGAGGGAAAGAUGAAAAGAACUUUGAAAAGAGAGUUAAACAGUACGUGAAAUUGUCAAAAGGGAAGCGUUUGACACCAGUGUUGUUUUUCCGAAAAUCAAUUACGAAUGUUUUAGUUUUUAAGAAGUUAUGACUUCAUCGGCUUGCUUCUCUCUUUAUGAAACUUUCUUAAUGCACUUUUCGGUUAACAAGUCAACAUCAAUUUCUUUUGUUGUAAAAGGGUAUGAGGAAGGUGGCUUUCUUUUCGGAGAAAGUGUUUAUAGCCUUGUAGCCUCUGCAAUCGGAGAGAUUGAGGUCUGCAGCGUAGAUCCUUCGGGGUUAGAUACGUUUGUGCUAAGUUAUAGCUUUUCAUAGACAACUUGUUGACUAUGUUUAGUCUUGUAGCUUACUCGCUGAUGCUAUUUUACCUACGCUUAGGAUGUUGAUCUCUCACAGUCGAGC
rnacentral:rRNA from 1 species